UACGUAGGGGGCAAGCGUUGUCCGGAUUUAUUGGGCGUAAAGAGCGUGUAGGCGGCCAGGUAGGUCUGGUGUGAAAACUCGAGGCUCAACCUCGAGAGGUCAUCGGAAACCAUCUGGCUAGAGUCCGGAAGAGGAGAGUGGAAUUCCCGGUGUAGCGGUGAAAUGCGCAGAUAUCGGGAAGAACACCUAUGGCGAAGGCAGCUCGCUGGAACGGUACUGACGCUGAGGCGCGAAAGCGUGGGGAGCGAACAGG
rnacentral:rRNA from 1 species